GGUGGGUGUGGCGGGUGUUGGGGUUUGUAUAGAUAGAUAGGAAUUGUGAUAUUGGGCUCUCUAAGCACCUUUAUUGUUGGUGGAGUUUUUGGGUGAUAUGUAUAUCUAUAUAAUGGGUUAAGAAGUUGCUGAGUGAUUUAUAUGAUUUAUUCGUUGGAUUAGGUAGAUUUUUUUUUUUCUGUUUUUCGUUUACUCCCUUAACCACCUAAUUUUGAUUUAUUAUU
rnacentral:misc_RNA from 1 species